GUGGGGAAUAUUGGACAAUGGGCGAAAGCCUGAUCCAGCCAUGCCGCGUGUGUGAAGAAGGUCUUCGGAUUGUAAAGCACUUUAAGUUGGGAGGAAGGGCAGUAAGUUAAUACCUUGCUGUUUUGACGUUACCGACAGAAUAAGCACCGGCUAACUUCGUGCCAGCAGCCGCGGUAAUACGAAGGGUGCAAGCGUUAAUCGGAAUUACUGGGCGUAAAGCGCGCGUAGGUGGUUCAGCAAGUUGGAGGUGAAAUCCCCGGGCUCAACCUGGGAACUGCCUCCAAAACUACUGAGCUAGAGUACGGUAGAGGGUAGUGGAAUUUCCUGUGUAGCGGUGAAAUGCGUAGAUAUAGGAAGGAACACCAGUGGCGAAGGCGACUACCUGGACUGAUACUGACACUGAGGUGCGAAAGCGUGGGGAGCAAACAGGAUUAGAAACCCCAGUAGUCC
rnacentral:rRNA from 1 species